rnacentral:rRNA from 1 species
GUGGGGAAUCUUGCGCAAUGGGCGAAAGCCUGACGCAGCCAUGCCGCGUGAAUGAUGAAGGUCUUAGGAUUGUAAAAUUCUUUCACCGGGGACGAUAAUGACGGUACCCGGAGAAGAAGCUCCGGCUAACUUCGUGCCAGCAGCCGCGGUAAUACGCAGGGGGCUAGCGUUGCUCGGAAUUACUGGGCGUAAAGGGCGCGUAGGCCGACCGCUUAGUCAGCGGGGAAAGCCCAGGGCUCAACCUUGGAGUUGCCUUUGAUACUGGCUGUCUUGAGUUUGGGAGAGGUGAGUGGAACUCCGGGUGUAGAGGUGAAAUUCGUAGAUAUUCGGAAGAACACCAGUGGCGAAGGCGACUCACUGGCCCAAUACUGACGCUGAGGCGCGAAAGCGUGGGGGGCAAACAGGAUUAGAAACCCGGGUAGUCC